CCCAACUGCUGUGAAAGACGCUCAGUGAUUGGCCGGUAGUGGAGAGAGUGCCGGUGGUGGACCAAUAGACACACGGCUCUCAUCACCCCGGCAUCUAGUACAGCUGAUCUCCCAGACCACCAUCCCUGCUCAGAUAACAAGAUGGCUGGUGACUCAGGCGUAGACAGCUCACAGUUCAAGGGCCUGGCUCGCUACUUCAACGGUUCCACCCUUGCAGGAAGAGCUAAUGUGGCAAAAGCAACUUAUGCAGUUGUGGGACUCCUAAUUGCCUAUGCUGUGUUAAAACCAUCAAAGAAGUAAAUGUGAAAGUUUGUAUAUAAACUGUAUCAUGUCAAUAAAUAGUACUUAGGUC